GUCGGGAUAGCUCAGUCGGUAGAGCAGAGGACUGAAAAUCCUCGUGUCUA
rnacentral:tRNA from 1 species